UGGGGAAUUUUGGACAAUGGGCGAAAGCCUGAUCCAGCAAUGCCGCGUGUGUGAAGAAGGCCUUCGGGUUGUAAAGCACUUUUGUCCGGAAAGAAAUCCUCUGGGUUAAUACCUCGGGGGGAUGACGGUACCGGAAGAAUAAGCACCGGCUAACUACGUGCCAGCAGCCGCGGUAAUACGUAGGGUGCAAGCGUUAAUCGGAAUUACUGGGCGUAAAGCGUGCGCAGGCGGUUUUGUAAGACGGAUGUGAAAUCCCCGGGCUUAACCUGGGAACUGCAUUCGUGACUGCAAGGCUAGAGUAUGGCAGAGGGGGGUUAGAUUCCACGUGUAGCAGUGAAAUGCGUAGAGAUGUGGAGGAAUACCGAUGGCGAAGGCAGCCCCCUGGGCCAAUACUGACGCUCAUGCACGAAAGCGUGGGGGAGCAAACAGGAUUCAGGAUAACCCUGGUAGUCCACGCCCUAAACGAUGUCAACUAGUUGUUGGGGAUUCAUUUCCUUAGUAACGUAGCUAACGCGUGAAGUUGACCGCCUGGGGAGUACGGUCG
rnacentral:rRNA from 1 species